GACGAACGCUGGCGGCGUGCUUAACACAUGCAAGUCGAGCGGUAAGGCUCCUUCGGGAGUACACGAGCGGCGAACGGGUGAGUAACACGUGAGCAAUCUGCCCUUCACUUUGGGAUAACUUCCGGAAACGGAAGCUAAUACCGAAUACGACCACUUCCAGCCUCGGAUGGGGGUGGAAAGUUCCGGCGGUGAAGGAUGAGCUCGCGGCCUAUCAGCUUGUUGGUGGGGUAACGGCCCACCAAGGCUUCGACGGGUAGCCGGCCUGAGAGGGUGACCGGCCAAACGGGGACGGGGACGCGGCCCGGACUCCUACGGGAGGCAGCAGUGGGGAAUAUUGGACAAUGGGCGAAAGCCUGAUCCAGCAACGCCGCGUGAGGGAUGACGGCCUUCGGGUUGUAAACCUCUUUCAGCAGGGACGAAGCGAAAGUGACGGUACCCGCAGAAGAAGGACCGGCCAACUACGUGCCAGCCGCCGCAGUAAGAC
rnacentral:rRNA from 1 species